CCAUCUCAAUUUUACUUUCUCAUGCAAUAAGAAGGAACAGAACAAGCAAUUUAUUUAAACUUAAAGAGAAAAAAAAUUUUGUGCACAAUUUGCAUGCUAAUAUGCAGCACCAAGUGAAAGAACAUGAAAUCUAAUGAGAGAUCGAUUGAUUCAUUUCAAUUUUUCAUGGCCAAGAAUUAGCCCUCAGAACAAUUACAAGGAGAGACAGUGAGGAAAUUAUUAACACAAAUUACCAGUAGAGACAAGAUGAUUCAACAAGGCUUCAAACCGCAAUGGAACACCUUGAACUCGCACUUGGGUGAAAUCAUCUGCAAAAGCAACCUUGCCGUGUACUCCUGUCUCACCACAGCCCCUUCUUUCUCCACCAAUGCAGCAGCCACGAUCUUCUCAUACCCAUCACCGCUUCCGCCCACCAAAUAUGCCACAAGAGCAGCCUGUACAGGCCCCAGGCUUGGAUUAUAAGCAGCAGACUCCAUGUACGACCCUCUAUAGACCUUCCCUUCACAAUCCAUCAACGCCACCCCGGAUGGGCAAUUACUAUACGGGGCAUGUGAUUUGUUGGCGGCCUCUAAAGCCUCAUAUUUCAAAUCAUCGCAAACACGACUAUUAAUCCCAUUUGGGAUGUUACUAUUAGAAUCGCUUAGAAAGGACAAGUGAUUAUGAUGUGGUUCUAAAGCUAAAGCAACAUUCUUAUCCAAAAGGUCAUCUGGCCCGAAUCUGUGCGGUAGAAAGUGGGACAAAGACUCAUAUUUAUUAGCAUCUCCAUUCUCAGCCACACCACCGCAAUUAUUACUGUUACUAUCGUCUGUGAUGAGGAUCUGGAUAUCGGGGGCGUUGCGAAUUUCCUGGAAAAACUGACGGCAGUGGCCACAGGGAGCGGCGGAGACGGCCAAGUAGUUGAGGCCGGGUUCAGCAUUGAGACUGAGAUUGGUGAUGAGGAAUUGUUCGGCGUGAACGGAUUGGUGGAGAGGCAGGCCCGGGAACUCGAGGUUGGCUCCAAAGAAGAUGCGGCCGGAGGAUCCAAGGCCCACCGCACCGACGUAGUAGUUGGAUAUGGGCGAGAGGGCCAAGGACCGGGCCUCUUUAACUAAGGUAGGGAGGAGCUGGAGGACAGUAAGGCCUGAUUGUUUCGCCAUUGAUUCGGCUUCGGAUGCUUCGAUUACGAAUCUACGCUGCUCCAUUUUUGCAGUGGGAUUGCUUGGGAUCGGAGAUUUAGAUCAGGGAAUAAACAAAUAAUUUAGCAGGGGAGAGAGCCUACCCGGAAACGAGGAGGAAGGUUUAGGGGCUGUGGGGGGAGAGAGAGAGAGAG
rnacentral:misc_RNA from 1 species